AUUGAACGCUGGCGGCAGGCUUAACACAUGCAAGUCGAGCGGGGUGAUGGUGCUUGCACUAUCACUUAGCGGCGGACGGGUGAGUAAUGCUUAGGAAUCUGCCUAUUAGUGGGGGACAACAUCUCGAAAGGAUGCUAAUACCGCAUACGUCCUACGGGAGAAAGCAGGGGAUCACUUGUGACCUUGCGCUAAUAGAUGAGCCUAAGUCGGAUUAGCUAGUUGGUGGGGUAAAGGCCUACCAAGGCGACGAUCUGUAGCGGGUCUGAGAGGAUGAUCCGCCACACUGGGACUGAGACACGGCCCAGACUCCUACGGGAGGCAGCAGUGGGGAAUAUUGGACAAUGGGGGGAACCCUGAUCCAGCCAUGCCGCGUGUGUGAAGAAGGCCUUAUGGUUGUAAAGCACUUUAAGCGAGGAGGAGGCUCUUCUGGUUAAUACCCAAGAUGAGUGGACGUUACUCGCAGAAUAAGCACCGGCUAACUCUGUGCCAGCCGCCGCAGUAA
rnacentral:rRNA from 1 species